AACGUAGGGUGCAAGCGUUGUCCGGAAUUACUGGGUGUAAAGGGAGCGCAGGCGGACCGGCAAGUUGGAAGUGAAAACUAUGGGCUCAACCUAUAAAUUGCUUUCAAAACUGCUGGCCUUGAGUAGUGCAGAGGUAGGUGGAAUUCCCGGUGUAGCGGUGGAAUGCGUAGAUAUCGGGAGGAACACCAGUGGCGAAGGCGACCUACUGGGCACCAACUGACGCUGAGGCUCGAAAGCAUGGGUAGCAAACAGG
rnacentral:rRNA from 1 species